GUGAAGAACGCAGUGAAAUGCGAUAAUUAAUGUGAAUUGCAGAAUUCAGUGAAUCAUCGAGUCUUUGAACGCACAUUGCGCCCCCUGGUAUUCCGGGGGGCAUGCCUGUCCGAGCGUCAUUGCUGCCCUCAAGCACGGCUUGUGUGUUGGGCUUCCGUCCCUGGCAACGGGGACGGGCCCAAAAGGCAGUGGCGGCACCAUGUCUGGUCCUCGAGCGUAUGGGGCUUUGUCACCCGCUCCCGUAGGUCCAGCUGGCAGCUAGCCUCGCAACCAAUCUUUUUAACCAGGUUGACCUCGGAUCAGGUAGGGAUACCCGCUGAACUUAAGCAUAUCAAUAAGCGGAGGA
rnacentral:misc_RNA from 1 species